rnacentral:tRNA from 3 species
GGAGAGGUGGCAGAGAGGCUGAAUGCACCGGUUUGCUAAACCGACGUAGUGGUACAACCGCUACCGAGGGUUCGAAUCCCUCCCUCUCCG